GCGGCAGGCUUCAUACAUGCAAGUCGAGGGGCAGCAUAAAUUACUUGUAAUUUGAUGGCGACCGGCGAACGGGUGCGUAACGCGUAUGCAACUUACCUUUUACUAGAGAAUAGCCAAGAGAAAUUUUGAUUAAUGCUCUAUACACUUAUUAAUUCUCAUGAAUCUAUAAGAAAAGCUCCGGCGGUAAAAGAUGGGCAUGCGUCCUAUUAGCUUGUAGGUGAGGUAACGGCUCACCUAAGCUCCGAUAGGUAGGGGUCCUGAGAGGGAGAUCCCCCACACUGGUACUGAGACACGGACCAGACUUCUACGGAAGGCAGCAGUAAGGAAUAUUGGACAAUGGAGGCAACUCUGAUCCAGCCAUGCCGCGUGAAGGAAGACGGCCUUAUGGGUUGUAAACUUCUUUUAUACAGGAAGAAACCUUUCCACGUGUGGAAAGCUGACGGUACUGUAAGAAUAAGGAUCGGCUAACUCCGUGCCAGCAGCCGCGGUAAUACGGAGGAUCCAAGCGUUAUCCGGAAUUAUUGGGUUUAAAGGGUCCGCAGGCUGUUUGUUAAGUCAGAGGUGAAAUCCUACCGCUCAACGGUAGAACUGCCUUUGAUACUGGCAAACUUGAGUUAUUGUGAAGUAGUUAGAAUGUGUAGUGUAGCGGUGAAAUGCAUAGAUAUUACACAGAAUACCGAUUGCGAAAGCAGAUUACUAACAAUAUACUGACGCUGAGGGACGAAAGCGUGGGUAGCGAACAGGAUUAGAUACCCUGGUAGUCCACGCCGUAAACGAUGGUCACUAGCUGUUUGAUGUACAUUGGUACAUUGAGUGGCUAAGCGAAAGUGAUAAGUGACCCACCUGGGGAGUACGCUC
rnacentral:rRNA from 1 species